rnacentral:rRNA from 1 species
ACGCACGCUGGCGGCGUGCUUCACACAUGCAAGUCGAACGGAAAGGCCCUGCUUGCAGGGUACUCGAGUGGCGAACGGGUGAGUAACACGUGGGUGAUCUGCCCUGCACUUCGGGAUAAGCUUGGGAAACUGGGUCUAAUACCGGAUAGGAGCCAUCUUUAGUGUGGUGGUUGGAAAGUUUUUUCGGUGUAGGAUGAGCUCGCGGCCUAUCAGCUUGUUGGUGGGGUAAUGGCCUACCAAGGCGGCGACGGGUAGCCGGCCUGAGAGGGUGUACGGCCACAUUGGGACUGAGAUACGGCCCAGACUCCUACGGGAGGCAGCAGUGGGGAAUAUUGCACAAUGGGCGCAAGCCUGAUGCAGCGACGCCGCGUGGGGGAUGAAGGCCUUCGGGUUGUAAACUCCUUUCGCUAGGGACGAAGCUUUGUUGUGACGGUACCUAGAUAAGAAGCACCGGCUAACUACGUG